GCUUGGUCUAGUAGUAUGAUUCUCGCUUCGGGUGCGAGAGGUCGCGGGUUCAAUUCCCGCAG
rnacentral:tRNA from 1 species